UGAGGUGAUGAUGAGUUAAAUAGUGAUGAUCUGAGGAAAAUAUUAAAGUUCAUAGUGACUGUGUGAAUAUUGAGCAUAAUGAGGAAAGUGACGUUAGAAGUGAAGUAGUAGUGAGUUAAAAAAACACAUUAUUCAAGGGAGAGAAAGAAGAAGGCCAAGCUGGAUCAAAGAAUUUGUCACUAGAAAAGGAUUACGUGAAGCAGAUGAAGUUGAGAUAGUAGCCUACAUAGUACAUGAUGUCACAAGUGAAGAUCCAAUUCUAUUUGAGGAAGUUGUUAAACACGAGAAAAGGAGGAAGGCUAUGGAUAGCGAAAUAAACUCAAU
rnacentral:lncRNA from 1 species